rnacentral:misc_RNA from 1 species
AGUCAAAUCACGACACGAGCAGAAAGAAGAAGCGUUAAAAAUUCACGACGUCAAAAAGGAAAGCAAAGUUCGGAAAUGAAAACAGUUUUUUCAGGAUUUUUGUUCACUUCUUGAAGGCUGCGUGUAAAUAAUUGUAAACAAAAAUAGUUUUUCAGCCACAUACACCAGCAAUUGUUGGCCAAAUGAUUCCAAUUGGCUCAAGAGUACGUCUGGCAGAAGGAAAUAAGUGCAAAAAUCUAAUAGUCCACAAUCUGUGCUUGAAUAUAUUAAUAAAAGGUGCGAAGGUGUGGACACAAACACACUUACGGCUGCGAUAAGGCCACGACUGUCGUUUGCAAAUUUGUAAAUCGCAUCGAAAAUUGUAGAACGCCAUAGGUAAAAAAAAAAAAUCUUCAAUAAGACGUAUCAGCAGUUUUAUUCAAAAGUCCAUGGUAGACAAUCUUUGCGCAAAAAUUUGUACAUUUGUUAUUAAACAAAAAACAACUAGAGGUCAAGGCGUCAGGUGCACGUCAUUGGUCACUGACCCACUAGCUGCUGCCCCACGACGAACGACUUCUUCGGAUAGAUAAUACCAUCUGCGAGGCAGAUUAUUUACAAUCCAAGCAAAAUCUUUUAAUAAACUUGGUAACUUAAUAGUAAAAAAAGCACAAGCCUCUAAUAUGUCUGUGCGCACGAAAGUACUCGGUCUAGUGGACGUUAUGAUGCGUGUACCACCCAUUUUAGUCAUCGAUGAGGUGCUGAAAAUCAGCAUGGGAUUACCAACGCGUUUUUAUCCGGCAACCAUAGAUCAAGGACUAUCCCCGAUUGGCGAAUUCAUUGAAAACCAAACACACAGUAAAACCAACGCGCCAAUUGGUUCGGCAGCUGUCUUUCCUGAAUUAAAUAAUGCCAACCUUGGAAACCACACCAAUGGAGAUAGCUCAGGUGGAGACAGCCUGCUGGAGCGCGCCAUAGUCAAUGCGUCGACUACAGCCACAUCAAAUGGUGUACUCAGCAGUUCUUUUGGCAUCAUGAUGAAUGAAUUAGCGCAGGACACGGUUCUAUCAGAUGUUCUCUCAAUAACAUCUGUGAAGUUUGUUAUCUGUUUAAUUGUUUUCCUAAGUGCUGCUUGCGUAUUCAUGCUAUGGACUCGACACCUGGUGAUGGUAUACAUGUUUGUGAUUUCUUUGGGUUUGACCUUCCUUUCAUAUUGGUCGAAUGUAUCUGCGCUGGCCGUGAUGGAGAAAUCUCCGUGCAUAGUGGAGGAUUUGCUUUCACUUAAUACGACACGACUGCUGGACACAGGCGGUGUUGCUAUGUCGCUGGUGCCACAUUUGGUAGCCCAGUGGUUCAUGGGCAUGCUCUUCGCAUACGUACAUUUGGGUCCACGUUAUCCAACCAUACCAAAAAUUAUGCCGAUCGUAUUUGCUUGUCCCAUUUUGUUGGCAAUGUUACCAUUGCCGCCACGCAUUAUCAAGGAUUUGCCUGUGCUAGCUGGAGCGGUACCGCUGAUAUUAACCAAGAUUACAAUGCUGAGCAGUGCUAUAGACGCUGCUAAAACCGUUUAUAAUGGUUAUCAGUAUGCAAUGAAUUUUGUAUCAAAUUUUGGCUUAUCGGCAUUAAUCGAAAAUGAAUGGCAGCGAUUGAAUGUGCCUAGUGUUCUACGUGUUUUCUGGACUAUAAGAAUCGGCCAAGAGUGUAUUUCAAUUGUGCUAUCUGACAACAGCACGACUUUGAGUUUCUUCCCCACCAUCCAAAAAUUGCUAGUCGAUGGUUGUGAGACGCUCACGGCUGUCCUGGGCAUGACUUCGAUUAUUUCGGUGAUUUGUCACUACAUCGGCCGCGCAUUUCAAUGGUAUCUACUCACAUUUGACAACGACGAGGAAAAAUCUUUGGGGACGGUUUCUGCAGUGCUCUUCUACAUUCUCGCACUGCAAACGGGUCUCACAUCAUUGGCACCCGAUAAACGCUUCGUCCGUCUAUGCCGCAAUUUAUGCUUGUUGAUCACAGCUUUGUUACAUUUUUUGCACAAUAUCGUAUCGCCCAUACUAAUGUCAUUGAGUGCGGCACGCAAUCCUUCACGCAAGCGCCAUGUACGCGCGCUCACUGUGUGCGCCUUUCUGGUUAUUACGCCUGUUUGCUUGCUCGCUGCGCUCUGGUCACGACAUUCGCCGUCCACCUGGUUGCUCGCGGUCACCGCAUUCUCCGUUGAAGUGGUGGUAAAGGUAUUUGUUUCCCUAGCCACAUAUACGCUAUUCCUUCUAGAUGCACGCCGUCAAACAUUCUGGGAGAAGCUAGACGAUUAUUUGUACUAUGUGCGCGCAUUUGGUAAUUCGGUAGAGUUUUGCUUUGGUAUUUUGCUUUUCUUUAACGGUGCUUGGAUUUUAAUUUUCGAGUCCGACAUUGCACUAUGGGCCAGAAACGAAAACUUGCAGCAACAAUUAUUUACAGUUGAGCUAGCCUCACCAAAUUUUGCAUGCAGAUUACCAUUGACGCAACACAAGUGGCUCAGAAAAAUAUGGGGCUCCCCUAUUAGGAGGCCUUUUACAAAAAAAUAUGAUAUCUCGUCUUACCUAAGCUUGAGUAUUUUUGCAGACUAACGGUCAAAUCACGCCCCUUUUUCCUUGUAAUAUCCAUAAAAAAGCGAGACAUAGAGUCGGCGCCAAGAUAUUGUCAAUAAGCUAUUGCCGCAAAGACCGCAAACAGCCUCUUUUUGUUGGCCCCCUGGGAUCCUGUAAAUCCAAAUCUAAUGGAAUUGACAAGUCUUGUUCUCUGGACAAAAAAUACAAAUUAUACGUUUAAUUUAAUAUA